GGGUCUAUAGCUCAGUUGGCUAGAGCAUGCGGUUCAUACCCGCAGUGUCAGUGGUUCGAAUCCACUUAGACCCACCA
rnacentral:tRNA from 1 species